rnacentral:rRNA from 1 species
GACGAACGCUGGCGGCGUGCUUAACACAUGCAAGUCGAACGAUGAAGCCGGAGCUUGCUCUGGUGAAUUAGUGGCGAACGGGUGAGUAACACGUGAGUAACCUGCCCUUGACUCUGGGAUAACUGCGGGAAACUGUAGCUAAUACCGGAUACGACCCUCGGAGGCAUCUCCUGGGGGUGGAAAGAAUUUCGGUCAAGGAUGGACUCGCGGCCUAUCAGCUAGUUGGUGAGGUAAAGGCUCACCAAGGCGACGACGGGUAGCCGGCCUGAGAGGGUGACCGGCCAAACGGGGACUGAGACACGGCCCAGACUCCUACGGGAGGCAGCAGUGGGGAAUAUUGCACAAUGGGCGCAAGCCUGAUUCAGCAACGCCGCGUGAGGGAUGACGGCCUUCGGGUUGUAAACCUCUUUUAGCAGGGAAGAAGCGAAAGUGACGGUACCUGCAGAAAAAGCACCGGCUAACUACGUGCCAGCCGCCGCCGUAA